CGAGCGAAUGGAUUGAGAGCUUGCUCUCUUGAAGUUAGCGGCGGACGGGUGAGUAACACGUGGGUAACCUGCCCAUAAGACUGGGAUAACUCCGGGAAACCGGGGCUAAUACCGGAUAACAUUUUGAACUGCAUGGUUCGAAAUUGAAAGGCGGCUUCGGCUGUCACUUAUGGAUGGACCCGCGUCGCAUUAGCUAGUUGGUGAGGUAACGGCUCACCAAGGCAACGAUGCGUAGCCGACCUGAGAGGGUGAUCGGCCACACUGGGACUGAGACACGGCCCAGACUCCUACGGGAGGCAGCAGUAGGGAAUCUUCCGCAAUGGACGAAAGUCUGACGGAGCAACGCCGCGUGAGUGAUGAAGGCUUUCGGGUCGUAAAACUCUGUUGUUANGGAAGAACAAGUGCUAGUUGAAUAAGCUGGCACCUUGACGGUACCUAACCAGAAAGCCACGGCUAACUACGUGCCAGCAGCCGCGGUAAUACGUAGGUGGCAAGCGUUAUCCGGAAUUUAUUGGGCGUAAAGCGCGCGCAGGUGGUUUCUUAAGUCUGAUGUGAAAGCCCACGGCUCAACCGUGGAGGGUCAUUGGAUACUGGGGAGACUUGAGUGC
rnacentral:rRNA from 1 species